GACGAACCGUACAAACGUUAUUCGGAAUCACUGGGCUUAAAGGGUGCGUAGGCGGCGGCGCAAGUUGGGUGUGAAAUCCCUCGGCUCAACCGAGGAACUGCGCUCAAAACUGCGUCGCUUGAGGAAGAUAGAGGUGAGUGGAACUUAGGGUGGAGCGGUGAAAUGCGUUGAUAUCCUAAGGAACACCAGUGGCGAAAGCGACUCACUGGGUCUUCUCUGACGCUGAGGCACGAAAGCUAGGGUAGCGAACGGG
rnacentral:rRNA from 1 species